GAAUAUUGGGCAAUGGACGCAAGUCUGACCCAGCCAUGCCGCGUGGAGGAAGAAGGUCCUCUGGAUUGUAAACUUCUUUUAUCUGGGAAGAAAUCCAUAUUUUCUAAUGUGGUUGACGGUACCAGAUGAAUAAGCACCGGCUAACUCCGUGCCAGCAGCCGCGGUAAAACGUAGGAGGCGAGCGUUAUCCGGAGUUACUGGGCGUAAAGCGCGUGUAGGCGGCUGUUUAAGUGUGCUGUGAAAUGUCCCGGCUCAACCGGGAAGGUGCGGCGCAGACUGGACGGCUGGAGGGUGACAGAGGCAGGUAGAAUUCCGGGUGUAGUGGUGAAAUGCGUAGAGAUCCGGAGGAAUACCAGUGGCGUAAGCGGCCUGCUGGGUCAAUCCUGACGCUGAGACGCGAAGGCAUGGGGAGCGAAC
rnacentral:rRNA from 1 species